AUCUUAGUGAGAUAGCUCAGUUGGUAGAGCAUGAGACUCUUAACCUUAGGGCUGUGUGUCUGAACCCCACACUGGACA